UACGUAGGGUGCAAGCGUUGUCCGGAAUUAUUGGGCGUAAAGAGCGCGCAGGCGGUCGAUCAAGUCGAGUGUGAAAGCCCCCGGCUCAACUGGGGAGGGUCAUUCGAUACUGAUCGACUCGAAGGCAGGAGAGGGUAGUGGAAUUCCCGGUGUAGUGGUGAAAUUCGUAGAUAUUCGGAAGAACACCAGUGGCGAAGGCGGCUCACUGGACGACUGUUGACGCUGAGGAGCGAAAGCGUGGGGAGCGAACAGG
rnacentral:rRNA from 1 species